GACAGAGGGUGCAAACGUUGUUCGGAAUUACUGGGCGUAAAGCGCGUGUAGGCGGCGCGGAAAGUCGGAUGUGAAAGCCCUGGGCUUAACCUGGGAAGUGCAUUCGAAACUGCCGUGCUUGAGUUCUGGAGAGGAAGGCGGAAUUCUCGGUGUAGAGGUGAAAUUCGUAGAUAUCGAGAGGAACACCGGUGGCGAAGGCGGCCUUCUGGACAGUGACUGACGCUGAGACGCGAAAGCGUGGGGAGCAAACAGG
rnacentral:rRNA from 1 species